rnacentral:rRNA from 1 species
UACGUAGGGUGCAAGCGUUAAUCGGAAUUACUGGGCGUAAAGGGUGCGCAGGCGGCUCCGCAUGUCGGGCGUGAAAGCCCCGGGCUUAACCCGGGAAUGGCGUCCGAAACUAUGGAGCUGGAGUGUGGCAGAGGGAGGUGGAAUUCCACGUGUAGCGGUGAAAUGCGUAGAGAUGUGGAGGAACACCAGUGGCGAAGGCGGCUCUCUGGACCGGUUCUGACGCUCAGGCGCGAAAGCGUGGGGAGCGAUCCGG